rnacentral:lncRNA from 1 species
UACAGGGCAUCUGGCCUGGUGUCUGCACAUAGUGAAACAUGGCUGAGUGUCCCUUGCAUUAAAUGCAUGUCCUUGGGAUCGCGGUUUCCCUCUCCUCUCCCUUGUCUUUCCCAAGAAACCCUCCACCCUGACGACACCCCACUAAUAUCUCCAUGUGGCCAAUUCCUCACAGGGUCAAAUAUGCUGGGCCACCCCCUCUGAGGCCGCAGCUGCAUCUCAGGUUUGCAUUCUCACCACGGCCGUUCUACUGAUGGGAGCUUCAUUUCUAUUUGCUCGAGCCUCCAGGAUUUGGUGCCGAACAUCUCUCAAGGCAUCUCCUGAUUUCCCAGAGCUGAUGGAAAUAUUCUGAAGGUAUUAAUAGAAUGCAGAUGUUGGAGAAUGCGACUUAGAAUCCUACUGAACAAAUGACCCUGUUGGGAGGCAGUUUGCAGUCUCCAGGGACAUUCCACAGAGGGCCCAGCUGAUUGUCUCAUAUUGAAACAGCAUGUCCCAGCAUUCCAGCUAGAAGAAGCGGAACAGGGCUCCUCCACCAGAUAUAAAUCACAAGGCAAAGGGCAACUGAACUCCUUCAGUCCUGCCCUCCCUCCUUCCUUGGUUCACCCUCCACCCCCUCCCCCGCUCCCGCCCCCCAAGGAAAACAAAGCUUGAGUAAGAGGCUGCCAAGCCAAGCCACGCAGGCGCCAGACGGCCGAGCGCGGCACACACGACGGCCGUUUGGGAGGCUCACAGCUUUCGGCACUGUGGCCCUGAUGUUUUUGCUUCACUGCAAUUUGUUUCUGAUCUCCAGUCAAGUCCUUACAACGCUGGGAUCCUCUAGAGAGUUUAUACUUUGACCUCGUGACAAUUAACACCAGAGGCCAAGAAAAAAAAAAAAAACUCGAUAAGAGAGAAACUCAAUUGGUGGGAGGUGGAGGG